rnacentral:rRNA from 1 species
GAUGAACGCUGGCGACGUGCCUAAUACAUGCAAGUAGAACGCUGAAGCUUGGUGCUUGCACCGAGCGGAUGAGUUGCGAACGGGUGAGUAACGCGUAGGUAACCUGCCUCUUAGCGGGGGAUAACUAUUGGAAACGAUAGCUAAUACCGCAUAAAAGUCGAUAUCGCAUGAUAUUGAUUUGAAAGGUGCAAUUGCAUCACUAAGAGAUGGACCUGCGUUGUAUUAGCUAGUUGGUGAGGUAACGGCUCACCAAGGCGACGAUACAUAGCCGACCUGAGAGGGUGAUCGGCCACACUGGGACUGAGACACGGCCCAGACUCCUACGGGAGGCAGCAGUAGGGAAUCUUCGGCAAUGGGGGCAACCCUGACCGAGCAACGCCGCGUGAGUGAAGAAGGUUGUCGGAUCGUAAAGCUCUGUUGUAAGAGAAGAACGAGUGUGAGAGUGGAAAGUUCACACUGUGACGGUAACUUACCAGAAAGGGACGGCUAACUACGUG